rnacentral:rRNA from 1 species
UACAGAGGGUGCAAGCGUUAAUCGGAGUUACUGGGCGUAAAGGGCGCGUAGGUAGUUGUUUAAGAUGUUUGUGAAAUCCCCGGGCUUAACCUGGGAACUGCAAGCAAGACUGGACAGCUGGAGUACUGUAGAGGGUAGUGGAAUUUCCGGUGUAGCGGUGAAAUGCGUAGAGAUCGGAAGGAACACCAGUGGCGAAGGCGGCUACCUGGACAGAUACUGACACUGAGGCGCGAGAGCGUGGGGAGCAAACAGG